rnacentral:rRNA from 1 species
ACGGAGAGUUUGAUCCUGGCUCAGGAUGAACGCUGGCGGCGUGCUUAACACAUGCAAGUCGAACGAACCUUCGGGUUAGUGGCGGACGGGGGAGUAACGCGUGAGAAUCUGCCCUCAGGAGGGGGACAACAGCUGGAAACGGCUGCUAAUACCCCAUAUGCCGCGAGGUGAAAUGAAUUUCGCCUGAGGAUGAGCUCGCGUCUGAUUAGCUAGUUGGUGUAGGUAAUGGCUCACCAAGGCAUCGAUCAGUAGCUGGUCUGAGAGGAUGAUCAGCCACACUGGAACUGAGACACGGUCCAGACUCCUACGGGAGGCAGCAG